rnacentral:tRNA from 1 species
UGGGGCGUUGUCUAAUGGCAGGACGACAGACUCUGGAUCUGUUUGUGAGGGUUCGAAUCCUUCCGCCCCAG